AGUCUAUUAGCCUCAUGUUGAUGUUGAGAAGAUGAUAAGAGUCUGUGCACUGGAUUUUACUGUGUGUGUUGUGGAUUGUGGAAUUUAAUAUACAGUUUGUAAUUGCUCAUCCUAUGUGUUCUCAUUCACGGAGACAAUGUCUUUCAGUCUUUUCACCCAAGGAGGCAUGCAUAUACGGAUUUAGGCUUUGACAACAAACAACCAAAAUGGCGGCCGGUGAAUUAGAAAGUUUCUGAGUGCAUGUAGGAUAUCUGAACGGAGAAUAGGAGUACUGCAUCCCAUCUGAUCCUGCAGUCAUUUCACCCAAGGAGGCAUGCAUAUACGGAUUGAUAGGCUUUGACAACAAAGAACCAAAAUGGCGGCCGGUGACCAUUAGAAAGUGUCUGAGUGCAUGUAGGAUAUCUGAACGGAGAAUAGGAGUACUGCAUCCCAUCUGAUCCUGCAGGUAAGUGUUUAUUUGUUUACAAUGACAGUCAGGAUGGAAUGUCAAUGAGUUCAACUGUCAAGUAAAGUUGCAUCAUCAUUAUAAAAAAA